GACGAACGCUGGCGGCGUGCUUAACACAUGCAAGUCGAACGGAAAGGCCCCUUUGGGGGUACUCGAGUGGCGCACGGGUGAGUAACACGUGAGUAACCUGCCCUUGACUUCGGGAUAACUUCAGGAAACUGGGGCUAAUACCGGAUAGGAAUCCUUGCUGCAUGGUGGGGGUUGGAAAGCUUCGGCGGUUUUGGAUGGACUCGCGGCUUAUCAGCUUGUUGGUGGGGUAGUGGCUUACCAAGGCUUUGACGGGUAGCCGGCCUGAGAGGGCGACCGGCCACAUUGGGACUGAGAUACGGCCCAGACUCCUACGGGAGGCAGCAGUGGGGAAGAUUGCACAAGGGGCGGAAGCCUGAUGCAGCAACGCCGCGUGCGGGAUGACGGCCUUCGGGUUGUAAACCGCUUUCAGCAGGAGCGAAGCUUGUGGUGACGGUACCUGCAGAAGAAGCACCGGCUAACUACGUG
rnacentral:rRNA from 1 species